rnacentral:rRNA from 1 species
GGGGAAUCUUGCGCAAUGGGCGAAAGCCUGACGCAGCAACGCCGCGUGCGGGAAGAAGGCCUUCGGGUUGUAAACCGCUUUCAGUAGGGACGAACACAGACGGUACCUACAGAAGAAGCCCCGGCCAACUACGUGCCAGCAGCCGCGGUAACACGUAGGGGGCGAGCGUUGUCCGGAUUUAUUGGGCGUAAAGAGCUCGUAGGCGGCUCAGUAAGUCGGGUGUGAAACCUCCAGGCUCAACCUGGAGACGCCACCCGAUACUGCUGUGGCUAGAGUCCGGUAGAGGAGCGUGGAAUUCCUGGUGUAGCGGUGAAAUGCGCAGAUAUCAGGAGGAACACCAACGGCGAAGGCAGCGCUCUGGGCCGGUACUGACGCUGAGGAGCGAAAGCGUGGGGAGCAAAC